UACGUAGGGACCGAGCGUUGUCCGGAUUCAUUGGGCGUAAAGAGCUCGUAGGCGGCUGCUCAAGUCGAAUGUGAAAACCCGGGGCUCAACCCCGGGCCUGCAUUCGAUACGGGCAGACUAGAGUUCGGUAGGGGAGUCUGGAAUUCCUGGUGUAGCGGUGAAAUGCGCAGAUAUCAGGAGGAACACCGGUGGCGAAGGCGGGACUCUGGGCCGAUACUGACGCUGAGGAGCGAAAGCGUGGGGAGCAAACAGG
rnacentral:rRNA from 1 species